rnacentral:rRNA from 1 species
AAUAUUGGACAAUGGGGGCAACCCUGAUCCAGCCAUGCCGCGUGUGUGAAGAAGGUCUUCGGAUUGUAAAGCACUUUAAGCGGGGAGGAAGGGGCUUUGGUUAAUACCCUGAACUCUGGACGUUACCAACCGAAUAACCACGGGCUAACUCUGUGCCAGCAGCCGCGGUAAUACAGAGGGUGCAAGCGUUGAUCGGAAUUACUGGGCGUAAAGCGCGCGUAGGUGGUUCAGUAAGAUGGGUGUGAAAUCCCGGGGCUUAACCUGGGAACUGCUUUCAUAACUGGUGAGCUAGAGUACGGUAGAGGGUAGUGGAAUUUCCUGUGUAGCGGUGAAAUGCGUAGAUAUAGGGAGGAACACCAGGGGCGAAGGCGACUACCUGGACUGAUACUGACACUGAGGUGCGAAAGCGUGGGGAGCAAACA